rnacentral:rRNA from 1 species
AUACGGAGGGUGCAAGCGUUAAUCGGAAUUACUGGGCGUAAAGCGCGCGUAGGCGGUUUGUUAAGUCGGAUGUGAAAGCCCGGGGCUCAACCCCGGAAGUGCAUUUGAAACUAUCAGGCUUGAGUAUGGGAGAGGGAAGUGGAAUUCCUGGUGUAGAGGUGAAAUUCGUAGAUAUCAGGAGGAACACCGGUGGCGAAGGCGACCUCCUGGACCAAUACUGACGCUGAGGCGCGAAGGCGUGGGGAGCAAACAGGAUUAGAAACCCCAGUAGUCC